rnacentral:rRNA from 1 species
UGGGGAAUUUGGACAAUGGGCGAAAGCCUGAUCCAGCAAUGCCGCGUGUGUGAAGAAGGCCUUCGGGUUGUAAAGCACUUUUGUCCGGAAAGAAAUCCUUGGCUCUAAUACAGUCGGGGGAUGACGGUACCGGAAGAAUAAGCACCGGCUAACUACGUGCCAGCAGCCGCGGUAAUACGUAGGGUGCAAGCGUUAAUCGGAAUUACUGGGCGUAAAGCGUGCGCAGGCGGUUUGCUAAGACCGAUGUGAAAUCCCCGGGCUCAACCUGGGAACUGCAUUGGUGACUGGCAGGCUAGAGUAUGGCAGAGGGGGGUAGAAUUCCACGUGUAGCAGUGAAAUGCGUAGAGAUGUGGAGGAAUACCGAUGGCGAAGGCAGCCCCCUGGGCCAAUACUGACGCUCAUGCACGAAAGCGUGGGGAGCAAACAGGAUUAGAUACCCUGGUAGUCCACGCCCUAAACGAUGUCAACUAGUUGUUGGGGAUUCAUUCCUUAGUAACGUAGCUAACGCGUGAAGUUGACCGCCU